UACGUAGGGUGCGAGCGUUAAUCGGAAUUAUUGGGCGUAAAGAGCUCGUAGGCGGUGUGUCGCGUCGGCCGUGAAAACCUGCAGCUUAACUGUGGGCUUGCGGUCGAUACGGGCAUCACUGGAGUUCGGCAGGGGAGACUGGAAUUCCUGGUGUAGCGGUGAAAUGCGCAGAUAUCAGGAGGAACACCGGUGGCGAAGGCGGGUCUCUGGGACGGUACUGACGCUGAGACGCGAAAGCGUGGGGAGCGAACAGG
rnacentral:rRNA from 1 species